rnacentral:lncRNA from 1 species
AAACAGGAAAACUAUUAUUGUCUAUGGAUUAAAAAGAAACAAAUAAAUUCCUGCUAGAACUUUAAACCAACGAAAGCGGACAAACCCAUGAACAAAAAUAAAAAUAAAAACUUGCUCGAGCAGUAAUGAAAUAUAACCAUAAUUCUCAUAAUUUUUCACAUUGUGAACUACUGAGCUCUGACUUCCAAAUUACAGAACAUUCACACCUUUUGAUAUCAAAACUCAAUAAUCGUAAACUUAUGCAAUGUCUGACUCCAACCAAUAAGUUUAGCUAGAUCAUACAUGGUUCACAAUUCUUAAAGAAAAUGAAAUAAAACCAAGCUUAAUCCUGGGACUUGCCAAGUCUGAAAUCAGAUUCACUCCACUUUAGAACUCAUUUUCAGAAAUCCGAAAAAUAAAUCAAAACACACAUGAAAGGAGAUCUAGUGAUAGACUAUGAAAAACACAGAACCAUGUCUCAAACCAUAUGGAUGCAAACUUGAGCAGAAUUACUAGGAAAACAAAGUGACACUAGAUUCAUGAGACCAAUUAUUCUGGGUGAACAUACAUUUAACUGAUUGCUAUAACAAACACAAACCAAAAACCAAAUAAUUUCUAGUAAUCAAACUACAACAUCUGUCCUUAAUUAUUACAAGUUUCAUCUAAUGUACCUUUGAUCCUCUUACAUUCAAACUAAUUCAAAUCCAACAUCUGAUACUAAAUGCAUAUGAAUGGGACAUCCAAAGCAAGCUAGACUAAAUCAGGAAAAGGAACAUGGCAAAGAUAGCAACAAUCAUAAUAUAAAAUUACUAUGUUUCAUUCAACUUCAAUUUGGUUCAUAAACAUUUACAUAAGACUCAACAACCAAACUCAAUCUCCAACCAUAGUUUCAGAAAGGAUACCUGGAGAUGGAAAGAAACAGAAGGUGAAGGAUCAGUAGUAAUUUAGUAUAAGGCAGCAGCAGAAAUAACCAAUGAAACCAGCUUCCAACUCAGAAAUGAUGUGCAAUAAUCCAAAAGAAAACAGUUUCAAUCGAACAAGAGCCCAGCAGACUUGUAACCAAACUUUUAAACCAAACUCAAUCCAUUUCCAACCCCAAGUGAAUCAGAAUUUGUUUCAGAAAUUGAAGACCUUAAGAAUCACAGAUGAAAUGCAAUGGAACAGUAAUUGUAUUGGAAUUUUCAACCGUUUUUCCUUUUUUGGAUUUUUUAUCUCUGAAUCUCUGCCUUGAAUGCCAAGUUAGAGAGCCUUUAUAGGCAAGGUAUUUAGGGCAGCUAGAUGAGAAUUAGAUUUGCACCUAGAUCCUCUUUAAAUUUUCAUUAUAGCUUAGGAGUCCUUAAGUUAAAAUUCAAAAAUUCCCUUAGGUCCCUUCCCCAACUUCCUAGAAGCUUCCAUUUCAGUUAUACAAAGAUUCCCUAGACUAGACUACCUAAAUUACCCCUUAAUGACCCUGUUAUUACCCCUGAUACUAAACGGGUAUGAGGUCAAAUUGACCCAAUGUUUCAAUCCAGCCUGGGCUUGCAAGACUCAAUAUGAAUCUCUUAUUUUUUGACUUUUGAUUUCAAUCAAACCAACAAUCUAUAAUAGAACCCACAAUUUAAACAGACUGACCCGAAAUUUCUCAAAAGAAAAACCCAGAAACCCCUUAAAAACUGAAACUACAAACAAAAAAGAAAGGGAAAUGAACCAAUAAAAUAAGCUAAGCCUGGUUAUUAAACUAGUUAUGCAAAACAGAACAACGGGCAAACGAAUACAUGAUAAAGAAAAAGAAGAAAGGGUGCAGAAAAAGAUAUAAAUGAACUUAGACGCAGAAGAAGAAAACAUGCAAGAAAAGGAAGUGAAAAAAUACCUAAAAUCUGGACAGCUUAAUCUUGGAUCUUCAGAAGAAGCUUCAAUUUCUUGAACAAAAUGGGCCUUAGUCGUGUGUUUUCAAAUGAGAACGCACGAAUAAAGCCAAUUUCGGCCUUAAAACUUCGUUAAACUUCGCUAAUUUGGGUUUUGGGAUUUUAGGGUUCAUGUCUUCCAAUUAAGAUUCGAGGAGUUCAGAGAAGAUUCGAAGGAAACCAGUUGUGGAUUAGGUACGAGGGGGUCAAGGGGAGUUCGGGGUGUUGAUUUGGGGUGGUUUGGGACCAGCGCCGCCACCUGAGGACGGUAGGAAAAUGAGGCGGCACUUUAGGGUUUUGCUUUUGGUCUCUGAGAGAUGAAGGGUUGAGAGAGACG